UAUAGCUCAUGAGCCCUGUCCACAAGGCUCUUGUCACAUGUCCACGGCUCACGAGUUAGCGUUCAGUCCCUUUUGAUUUAAUGUCAAAUCCCGAUUUUCAAAUUUCUCAAAAGAAACUAUAUUCACUUUUACAUUGUUUCUUCUGCAGCUUCCACGAGCAUGUGGAUGAGUUCCCUGCUGCGCUAGAGUUAUCCGCUUUCACACUCAGUAUAAAAUGGUUAAAUGAGCCUGUAAAAGUCACAAAAUGUUUCAUUGAACCAGUGAAAUCAAAUGUGAAAAACUAGAUUAAUAUCCUAUAGCGUCAGUCAAGACACAAUGACAGUUUUAAGCAAGUGGCAAUGGUGCCCUACGUGCGCUGCAGUUUUGCCGGACCCAAUUUUAUAGACAAAAAAUGUACCGUCCAGCGUCCACACAAAUCACCGCCCCAAAUCGCAUUCCAAAGUAUGAUUCUCCAAGAUGCACGGCAUGGCCAUCAACUUCGCCAAAAGCGUAACCGACCACACAAAUCACCGCCCCAAAUCGCAUGUAUAUGGUUAUACAUUGGAACAAAUCCUAUUUUCCAAAUAUUUCCAAGGUUCUAGUGAUGCCAGACUUAUUUUCCCCAUGGAUAUUAUAAGGGGCUGGGGAUUAAGUGUGGGAGUGGGAUUAGCCCUCAAGACUUUUUGAAAAUUGGCUUUAAAAAAAAGGGAAAAAAAGAAAAAAAAUACCUAAUUCUUUGUAGAGAGGUCCAUUGCUAUAGAUAAUAAUGCCUUUUUUUACACCCUGUAUCAGCAAAGAGGAACUGAAGCGUUUGCAACUUGUUCUUCAAGGCAUCAACCGGCUCAUUCAUAGGCUCAAACCGUUGCUCCAAAAAGUACCCGUUUUUGUCAAAGUAGAGACUAAAGUCUUCUGACUUAUACUUAUUCUCCUCACAUUUUUAUGUAAUAUCACCUGAUUGUUUAUCGAUAAAAUGUUCAGUUUUUGGAUGCUACGUAGUUUUAAACGUACCUUAUUUCCAUUUUCCGAUUUUUUAAUCGAUACAAUUUCUCUUUACUUUGAAUUUUAAAAAAGAAAAAAAAAAUCCAAAUUAACGACUCCUUUCCAUACCUCUCUAUGUCAUCAAGUAUUUCGUAAAAAUUAUCGCUUUAAAAAGUCUGAACAUUUUCUUCAGUGCCUCUGCGCCACAGAAUUUAUAUUAAUAAAAAUAAUAAUAAAAAAAAAAAUCAUGUAUUGAUGCUGACAUUUUGACGUAAUUCCAAGAAAAGCAGGAAGUUAAACAAUUUUGCCCGAAAUUUGCACCUGGAAGUCCGAAUUGGCCCAUUGGCAUAAUUAAAGUAGGCUAAGAUGCCACCCAGUGGCAUAGUCAUCAUGUCCUUCCACGGGGAACUGUAUUACUUUCUCCAGUAGGCUUUGUUUGUAUUUCCCUUGUAUCCGAUGAAACCAUACGAAUACACCUGAUCCAGUACCUUAUCUAGUGUCCCAUUCUUUCCUCUGGUACACAGUGCAAGCAGGGGUGGGGGGCAGCAUAUGUGAGUGCCUAACCCUCCGUCCGCAAUCGCCACCGCCGAAAUUCUCUGAUCCGCAAACUCCUUCGGCCCUGUUCCGCCUUUCCGCAUUCGCCACCAUCAAAAUAUUAGAAUCCGCAAACGCCACCGGAUUCUUAGAAUCCGCAAACGCCACGUCCGCAAACGCCACCGCACCGAAAAUCGUGUUUUCCUAGAUACCUACUAUUUCGUCACGGAUGUGUUGCUAUCAUAAGAGAU
rnacentral:lncRNA from 1 species